CAAGCAGCGGAGCGUGUGGUUUAAUUCGAUGUUACACGAAGAACCUUACCAGGGUUUGACAUGCAAGUGGUAGGAAGCCGAAAGGUGACCGACCCUUCGGGGAGCUUGCACAGGUGCUGCAUGGCUGUCGUCAGCUCGUGUCGUGAGAUGUUGGGUUAAGUCCCGCAACGAGCGCAACCCUUGCCAUUAGUUGCUACGAAAGGGCACUCUAAUGGGACUGCCGGUGACAAACCGGAGGAAGGUGGGGAUGACGUCAAGUCCUCAUGGCCCUUAUAGGUGGGGCUACACACGUCAUACAAUGGCCGGUACAGAGGGUAGCCAACCCGCGAGGGGGAGCCAAUCCCACAAAGCCGGUCGUAGUCCGGAUCGCAGUCUGCAACUCGACUGCGUGAAGUCGGAAUCGCUAGUAAUCGUGGAUCAGCAUGUCACGGUGAAUACGUUCCCGGGUCUU
rnacentral:rRNA from 1 species